AUUGAACGCUGGCGGCAGGCUUAACACAUGCAAGUCGAGCGGGGAAAGGUAGCUUGCUACCUGACCUAGCGGCGGACGGGUGAGUAAUGCUUAGGAAUCUGCCUAUUAGUGGGGGACAACAUCUCGAAAGGGAUGCUAAUACCGCAUACGUCCUACGGGAGAAAGCAGGGGACCUUCGGGCCUUGCGCUAAUAGAUGAGCCUAAGUCGGAUUAGCUAGUUGGUGGGGUAAAGGCCUACCAAGGAGACGAUCUGUAGCGGGUCUGAGAGGAUGAUCCGCCACACUGGGACUGAGACACGGCCCAGACUCCUACGGGAGGCAGCAGUGGGGAAUAUUGGACAAUGGGGGGAACCCUGAUCCAGCCAUGCCGCGUGUGUGAAGAAGGCCUUUUGGUUGUAAAGCACUUUAAGCGAGGAGGAGGCUACCGAGAUUAAUACUCUUGGAUAGUGGACGUUACUCGCAGAAUAAGCACCGGCUAACUCUGUG
rnacentral:rRNA from 1 species